UUCCGGUUGAUCCCGCCGGACCUGACUGCUAUCGGAUUGAUAUAAGCCAUGCGAGUCAUUGUAGCAAUACAAGGCAGACGGCUCAGUAACGCGUAGUCAAUCUACCCUAUGGACGGGAAUAACCUCGGGAAACUGAGAAUAAUGCCCGAUAGAACAUUAUACCUGGAACGGUUUAUGUUUCAAAUGAUUUAUCGCCGUAGGAUGGGACUGCGGCCUAUCAGUUUGUUGGUGAGGUAAUGGCCCACCAAGACUAUUACAGGUACGGGCUCUGAGAGGAGUAGCCCGGAGAUGGGUACUGAGACACGGACCCAGGCCCUAUGGGGCGCAGCAGGCGAGAAAACUUUGCAAUGUGCGAAAGCACGACAAGGUUAAUCCGAGUGGUUUCUGCUAAAGAAACCUUUUGCUAGUCCUAGAAACACUAGUGAAUAAGGGGUGGGCAAGUUCUGGUGUCAGCCGCCGCGGUAAAACCAGCACCUCAAGUGGUCAGGAUGAUUAUUGGGCCUAAAGCAUCCGUAGCUCGUUUUGUAAGUUUUCGGUUAAAUCCAUACGCUUAACGUAUGGGCUGCCGGGAAUACUGCAUAACUAGGAAGUGGGAGAGGUAGACGGUACUCGGUAGGAAGGGGUAAAAUCCUUUGAUCUAUUGAUGACCACCUGUGGCGAAGGCGGUCUACCAGAACACGUUCGACGGUGAGGGAUGAAAGCUGGGGGAGCAAACCGGAUUAGAUACCCGGGUAGUCCCAGCUGUAAACUAUGCAAACUCAGUGAUGCAUUGGCUUGUGGCCAAUGCAGUGCUGCAGGGAAGCCGUUAAGUUUGCCGCCUGGGAAGUACGUACGCAAGUAUGAAACUUAAAGGAAUUGGCGGG
rnacentral:rRNA from 1 species